rnacentral:rRNA from 1 species
GAGUAUUACAAACUGACGUUAAAUAUGAAAAAAUUUUCUUCAAAAAAGAUUUUUAAAAAAAUUAAUUAAUUAAAAGGAACUCGGCAAACUUAGUUGCUUCGCCUGUUUAUCAAAAACAUGGCUCUCUGCUUAUAUAAAUAUAGGGAGUCGAGCCUGCCCAGUGAAUUUUUUUAACGGCCGCGGUACUCUGACCGUGCAAAGGUAGCAUAAUCAUUUGCCUUAUAAUUGAAGGCUAGUAUGAAUGGUUUGACGAGAGCAACACUGUCUCUUUUUUAUUUUCAAGAACUUAACUUUUAGGUGAAGAGGCCUAAAUUUUAUUGAAGGACAAGAAGACCCUGUCGAGCUUAAAAGACAUUGUAGAAGUCUAUAUAUAUAUUAAAUAAAUUUUCUAUCAAGCUUUUUAGUUGGGGCGACUAAGGAACAAAAAAAGCUUCUUGUUAAUAAUAAACAGUCAUGUUUAGAUCCGAUAAUAAUCGAUCGGGGGAAUUAGUUACCGCAGGGAUAACAGCAUAAUCUCUCUUGAGAGACCUAAUCGAAAGAGGGGGUUGUGACCUCGAUGUUGGACUAGAAUAUCCUGAAGGUGCAGAAGUCUU